rnacentral:lncRNA from 1 species
UUAAAAAUUUUUUUAUUAUAAAAUUCUUGUAAUUUUUCUUUUACAGGGACAUUCUUUGUUUAAAAUCAAAGCUUUCACACUGUCCCCAUCUCAUUGCUGUACUGUUUCUGGCUACGGUGCUGUCUUUAAUAAAACACCAUUCCAGGAAGUCCACACCGAGGCAUCCUCAUUGGUCUCAGGAUGAGCACCUUGCCUUGCUGGGACAGAGCCUCUGCAUCAAGCGUGAGCAGAAAGCAUAUGCAGACCGUGGACAGAAUGCUGUUUCAGAGUUUUUAAGCAUCUGGACUCGUUUCAAAUUACUUAUAAAUAUCUUCAAAUGUUCUCAGGACUUCUCUCUUCUGAAUACUGACAUCUUAUUCUAUCACUCACAGACAAAUACGUACCCAUAUGUAAAUAUAAAAGGAUAUGUUGAUUUUGAAUAAGAACGUGACUGGGAUUAUUAAAGGCUAGAGUCUUUGACAUGGACUUUAACUCCUGUUGGAGAUUCACUGUGCACCUGCUUUUGGUUUGUAAGAGAUUUUUCUAAAGGCUCUGGGGUUUACGUCUUAAUCCUUUUGUUUGACCAAAUAAAAAUUCACCAGGGCUGGUGAGAUGGCUCAGCAGGUAAAAGCUCUUGCCACAAAAGCCUGGUGACCUUAGUUCAAUCCCAGAGAUGCACAGUGGAAGGAGAACGGACUCCUGAGAGUCACCUUCUGACCUCCACAUCCCAUGAUCCCAUGUAAAAACCCGGGCACACGUCUGUGGUCCCAGUACUGGAAGGGAAGACAGUGGAUGCAGGACUCACUAGCCUGCAACCCUAGCUGACUGGGCUAGCCUAAGGCCAGUGAGGGACUGUCUCAAAACUAGCCCAAGGCCAGUGAGGGACUGUCUCAAAACACGAAUCUUUGAGGAAUGGCACUGUAAAUAGAUCUCUGGAUCACACAUAUGUGCUCACCCCCAUAUACACACAUCACAGAAAAGAAAAGAAAUGUUAAUAACUCAAGCGAAGCUCUUGGUAAAGGAAAGAAAAUGUGAUUGAUACUUUCUCACAUUUAUAAGUCAAUUUUAAGUAUUCAGAUAAAUAGCUUGCUAGAAAACUCAAAAAGAUCACAUGGGACAAAUCUUUUUUUAAUUAUUAUUAUUACUUAUGUUGUGAUAAAUUUAACUCAUGCAAGUCUUAUAUUUUUAUGAGGUGUAAAAUAGUAACAUUUAAAAUCUACUACAUAUAGAUUAGAAUAACUGAGUUACUGUGCUGCUUUAUGGAGCAUAACUUAUAACCUCUAAUACAAAAUUCUGUUAAUAUACAACUAAUAGAAAUAUUCCUAUCCUAUUCAAAUUAACAAUAGGAAUGCAAAAUAUGUAAUUUUAGGGUAUGUCCGAAUCUCCUGAGUUUAUCACCAAGUAGUGGAUGUCUCCAACCUCUGCUGUUUUAAUCCAAACCUCA